rnacentral:ribozyme from 1 species
AAUUAAACCUCGAGAAACAUCGGGGUGCCUAUGGGAGUAAUCUCAUACAAAAAUAAUUUGGCUUAUAACGGUGGACUCCAUACACCAGAAUUAUAUUAGAAUGAUAUAAUUGACAGUAUGGACAAUACCGUGGGAAGUCUCCGUCAAUUGGGCGGAUGACCCUGUAGAGACUUGACCUUAACUGGUCGGAGUGUGAAUAAAAUUCAUGCUAACACGCCGAACCCCGCCUAAGUUUUGUUUUGCAAAAUUUAGGCGGGUGAAGAUAUAGUCCGAUCCUCCCAGUAAUGGGAGA